UACGGAGGAGGCAAGCGUUAUCCGGAAUUAUUGGGCGUAAAGCGUCCGCAGGUGGCACCUCAAGUCUGCUGUCAAAGACCGGGGCUUAACCCCAGAAAGGCAGUGGAAACUGAAGUGCUAGAGUGCAGUAGGGGUAGAGGGAAUUCCCGGUGUAGCGGUGAAAUGCGCAGAUAUCAGGAAGAACACCCGUGGCUAAGGCGGUUCUCUAGUACGGUACUGACGCUGAGACGCGAAAGCGUGGGGAGCGAACAGG
rnacentral:rRNA from 1 species